UUUAGCAGCCAUAAAGACUGGUUGCCCACUGAAGCCAAGCAGGGCUGAGCCUGGUCAGUACCUGGAUGGGAGACCUCCUGGGAAAACUAGGUUGCUGCUGGAA
rnacentral:rRNA from 1 species